UACAGAGGAGCCAAGCGUUGUCCGGAUUGACUGGGCGUAAAGCGCACGCAGGCGGACGCGCGCGUGGGUGUGAAAUCUGGCCGCUUAACGGCCAGGCGCCAUCCCAUACGGCGCGUCUGGAGUGAUGCAGAGGUCGGUGGAAUUGCCGGUGUAGUGGUGAAUGCGUAGAGAUCGGCAGGAACACCAGGGCAACCGAGCCGACUGGCAUGCUACUGACGCUGAGGUGCGAGAGCGUGGAGCGAACCGG
rnacentral:rRNA from 1 species